UCCCUGGUGGCUCAGAGGUUAAAGUGUCUGCCUCCAAUGCAGGAGACCCGGGUUCGAUCCCUGGGUUGGGGAA
rnacentral:tRNA from 1 species